rnacentral:rRNA from 1 species
AUUGAACGCUGGCGGCAUGCCUUACACAUGCAAGUCGAACGGCAGCACGGGUGCUUGCACCUGGUGGCGAGUGGCGAACGGGUGAGUAAUACAUCGGCACAUGUCCUGUAGUGGGGGAUAGCCCGGCGAAAGCCGGAUUAAUACCGCAUACGAUCUACUGAUUAAAGCUGGGGACCUUCGGGCCUCGCGCUAUAGGGUUGGCCGAUGGCUGAUUAGCUAAUUGGUGGGGUAAAGGCCUACCAAGGCGACGAUCAGUAGCUGGUCUGAGAGGACGACCAGCCACACUGGGACUGCGACACGGCCCAGACUCCUGCGGGAGGCAGCAGUGGGGAAUUUUGGACAAUGGGCGAAAGCCUGAUCCAGCAAUGCCGCGUGUGUGAAGAAGGCCUUCGGGUUGUAAAGCACUUUUGUCCGGAAAGAAAUCCUUGGCCCUAAUACGGUCGGGGGAUGACGGUACCGGAAGAAUAAGCACCGGCUAACUACGUG